AGCGAACGCUGGCGGCAGGCCUAACACAUGCAAGUCGAACGAACUCUUCGGAGUUAGUGGCGGACGGGUGAGUAACACGUGGGAACGUGCCUUUUGGUUCGGAAUAACGCAGGGAAACUUGUGCUAAUACCGAAUGUGCUCUUCGGGGGAAAGAUUUAUCGCCAUUAGAGCGGCCUGCGUCUGAUUAGCUAGUUGGUGAGGUAACGGCUCACCAAGGCGAAGAUCAGUAGCUGGUCUGAGAGGAUGACCAGCCACACUGGGACUGAGACACGGCCCAGACUCCUGCGGGAGGCAGCAGUGGGGAAUCUUGCGCGAUGGGCGAAAGCCUGACGCAGCCAUGCCGCGUGAAUGAUGAGGGUCUUAGGAUUGUAAAAUUCUUUCACCGGGGACGAUAAUGACGGUACCCGGAGAAGAAGCCCGGGCAAACUUCGG
rnacentral:rRNA from 1 species